GGUUUAGUCACUAGAAUCGCUGUGCGCAGGUGCUGCUUUCAAGAGUACUGGAAAAUGGUGGCGUAGGUGACACCGACAGCUUCUCUGUUUACAAAACAGGCUCACCAGUGACCUAACUGAAUUCUCAGAAGGAGCUGGCGGUCCCCAUGUGUAGGUGUUGUUCACAUGGCCAUGGAGAGAUGGGCACUUGACACUGGAGUCCCUGCUGGUGCUGAAGAGGACUGAAAAAUGAUGGAUUUUCUACCGACCUGGGAAAAUGGAGCCUACAAGAUUGACUGACUGGUUAUUAAAGGUGCAGGCCUUGAUCCAUUGAUCUGAAAGAAGGUGUGGAACUUUCUGGAGAAAGAAAAAACAUGGUCAGAAGAGAGACUAGCAGAUCAUAGCUACACAUUUACUGCCUGGGGACCAAAAUAAUCUUGCUGUGGCCAGUCAACAAUGUCAAAACGUUAUGACACAAAAAGCUCAAUAGAACUGUCUUUAUCUCUGUGU